AGUGGAAUAACUAGGUAAAAUGGUGGUUCCAUUCCAAGUUUUCUGAGGAAUCUCCAUACUACUUUCCAGAGUUGCUGUUCCAAUUUACAGUCCCACCAGAAAU
rnacentral:pre_miRNA from 1 species